rnacentral:lncRNA from 1 species
GGCAACACAGGCUAAGAAUAAACAUACUACAGUGCUCUAACAUCUCAAAGUAUCUAAAUCAAAUGAGAAUGCGAAAGAAAACUAUAAACUAUAGGUAGAAUAGAGGAAGAUUCGGCGGCUCUGCGGACGCGACAGAUGCAUACCUCAAGCCUCCAAAACAACUCCAAAUCCCUAAUAGCGCGCUUGACCAGAUGUACCUGGAUCUGCACAACAAAAGUGUGCAGAAGAGUAGCAUGAAUACACAACAGCGGUACUCAGUAAGUGACAAGCCUAACCUCGAUGGAGUAGUGACGAGAAAGGUUGAGGCCCUACUAAGAAGUACAUAAGAAAUAAUGAAAAAAAAACAGUAGGAAGGAAAUAAAUAUGAAUAUAUAAGAAGACAAUGAUUAAAAAUAGAGCGGCUACAAUUACCAACUACAAACACAAUGCAAAUCACUUUACAAACAUGAUCUCUACAUGGAGCUCCGGGAAUCGAAGCCGCAGUCCACCUUAUCAAUAUCCGAGGAUCUCCGGGAAUUGAACCCGCAUUCCUUCAUACCAAUAUCAGAGGAUAUCCGGAAAUUGAAACUCUUUUAUACAAAUAUCAGAGGAUCUCCAGGAAUUGAACCCACAGUCCUUUAUACCAAUAUCAGAGGAUCUACGUGAAACCCGCAGUCCUUUAUACCAAUAUCAGAGGAUCUCCGAGAAUUGAACCCGCAGUCCUCUAUACCAAUAACAGAGGAUCUCCGGGAAUUGAACCCGCAGUCCUUUAUAUCAAUAUCAGGGGGAUCUACCGGGAAUUGAACCCGUAGUCCAUCAUACCAAUAACAAGGGGAUCUCCCGGGAAUUGAACCCGUAGUCCAAACGUAAACACUUCACAACAAGUCAAUAAUUAACAGAAGGAACCAAAUAUAGAAACAACGUAAAGGUCUAUACCUAGCAUGCUCACAAAGAGGGCAGGUAAUUCAAACUAGCACAACUAGCACAAGUACACGCCCGUCACCUCACGCACAAGGCCCUUAAACAACAAUUAAUAUAUACUUAGGGGAGAGGUCCCCCACACAAGGUUAGACAAGCCACUUACCUUGAAUUGGUACAAAACCGCUAAGAAACAAUGCACUUGCCACGAAUAUCCUAGUUCGAGUGGCCCAAAUCUAUUCAAACCAAUUACACAUUGUAAAUAACAUCGCAAGGAACUUGCCCUUGCCAUGGGUAUCCGACUCCGAGUGAACCAAAUCUAUUCAAACCAAUUACAUAACGUAAAUAACAUCGAAAGCGACUAAUGACACUGUUAAAAUUAAAGCUAAGGCGCGAAAAUAAAUAAAAUAACCAAAAUACCCCUCAGGACAACGUCUCGGAAUCGAAUAAUUUUCACAUUUUCUGUAACCUCGUAUUCUCACGAGUCUAACCAUAUAAAAAUCUCCCAAAUUGGAGGUCAAAUUCCCCUUAAAAUCCACAAAGUUAGGUCUAAGAACUUUACCCCAAUUUUCAUUAGAAAAUCGAAAUUGAAGGUUGAAUUUGAGAUUAGAUUAAUGGGUUUUAGUCAUAGAAGAGUAGAGAAUCAUUACCCAGUGAUUUUCUUUGAAAAGCCUUCGAAAUUUCUCCCCAAUCCGACCUCCUUAACCUUGAGUUUGGUAAAAAUGGAAGAAGGUUCGUUUUGAAAUAUUUAUAUUCUGCCCAGUGAUUUGCUCUAUGCGAUCGCGUGAAAUGGAAUACGAUCGCGUAGAAGGAAUUCUGAAGGCCGUGAAAAUGAACUAUGUGAAUGCAUCCAGAGGAGUGCGAUCGCAGGGAAGAACCAAACGGGGAUAUGCGAUCUCAUUCAAGGCUAUGCGAUCACGUAUAAGAAUUUGGCCUUGAUGCCCAGGUCCUAAAUUACUCUAUUCGAACGCGAGUUAGGGGAUGCGAUCGUUGUGUAUGAGGGAACAAAGGUAUGUGAUCGCAGAAGGUUUAAUGCGAUCGCAUUGAAGGAAAGCAGGCCCAGCUCUAAGGACUCUAUGCGAUCGCAGGAUAGUCUAUGUGAACGCAUAGAAGGAUUUGUCUGCAACACCAACAGUAGAAAUCUGCAACACUUUAAAUUCCGGAAUUGCUCCGUUGAGCAUCCGAAACACAUCCGAGUCCCCCGGGACCUCAACCAAACCUACGAAUAUAUCCCAAAACAUCAUUUGGACUUGUACCGAACCUUAAACCACCUAAAACAACACCGGAAACACGAAUUAAGCAAUGGUUUGGACUUAAAAAUUUCAAAACUUAACCAAACUCGCUUUCGACUCAAAAUCUAUCCAAAACACGUCCGAAUGACUUGAAAAUUUACAGACGUAUCCUAAAUCACCUAACGAAGCCGCUGCAACUCUCGGAAUUCCAUUCCGGCCCUCGGAUAAAAAAUUCACUAUCGGGCCGGAACUUCAAAUUUCUAACUUUCGGCAUUCAUAGCCUAAUUGAGCUUCAGAUAUCCAAAAUAUAUUCCGAACACGCUCCCCCCACGAAAUCACCUAACGGAGCUAACGAAACCUUCGGUUUUCCAUUCCGAGGUCGUCUUGACACUUUUCUGAUUAUGGACCAUUUUCCAACACUUAAGCUCUCAUUUAGGGACUAAGUGUCCCAAAACACUCCGAAUUCUAUUACCGAACAUCCCGAAAAACCAAAAUAGCAGAAUUGAACUUAGGGAAAGUAGAAAAUGGAUAAACGGGGUAUAAAUUCCAAAGACGACCAGUCGGGUUGUCACAUUGAUGGACUCCAAUAAAAUAAACUCUCUAGCCAUUGAAUGUACUUAUACUCUUAAUCUUGAUAUAAUUAUUAUUUGCUGUGUAUAGUAAUAUUGUUUUGAUUUAUUAAAAGGCGAGAUUCUUUCGUAGGUCAAAUUUCCUGGUAAAUUUGAUAAUAAUAAUUUACAUUGGGGAAGUAAUAGUUAGUUGAUGGAAUCCAUGUCUCAGUUUAGAGAUUGAUGAUACACCUUUAUGAAAGCUUAUAUGUUUUCAUGUGUAAACCUAUUAAUAAUGCACAUUGGCGAAGUAAUAGUUAGUUCAUGGAAUCCAUGUCUCGGUUAGAGAUUGAUGAUACACCUUUAUGAAAGCGUAUAAGUUUUCAUGUGUAAACACGACCAGUGAAUUUUGUAUCCGACACAUGAAAUAAGUUAAGCGAAAGUCUAAAGGAAAUAAUCAAUAAAUUAAAUUGUCAGCAAUCUAAUUUAAUUGAUUCGUAUCUGAAUCUUAACGUGGGGAGCUAAAUAAGAUUUAAUGGAUGAAUUUCGAAAUUGAAUAAGGAGUGCAAUUAUGAAUUUNNNNNNNNNNNNNNNNNNNNNNNNNNNNNNNNNNNNNNNNNNNNNNNNNNNNNNNNNNNNNNNNNNNNNNNNNNNNNNNNNNNNNNNNNNNGAUAUUAAUUUCAAAAAUUAUAAAUUAAUUCCAUAAUUGGAAGCCUUGUUAAUUAAAUUUUGUGGUCCCUACUGUGCCUAAAUAAUAUGAAAUAAAGUAAUUCCUUUUAUGGUGGUAAAAAACCCAACAGGUUUUGGAAAAUGGUCUUAACCCUAAAAACUUGUGCUAUAAAUACAUAAGGUUUUCCACCUAGAAGGAAGGUGCAUGGUGACUGAAAUUUUCAGCCAAGGUUUCCUAGAAAUUUCGCCCACACGAAAUUGCUAUUUCCGGUAUUAUUUGGGUAACACAGUAAAAGACCAUGGAACAUUCGAGGAUCACGAUUGUGCGGGUGAUGGAGAUUCCAUUGAGAAGUUAUAGAACUGAAGGCUCACAUGAUAGAAGAGAUUCACGCUUCAAGAAUAACCCGUGAAAUCUCAUUUACACUAAUUAUCUAAAUUACAUAUAAUUUUAAUACUAAAAUUGUUUCCGUUACUUAUUAUAAUCCAUCACAUAAUGGUCCAUCUUUCACGAGAGUCACAGUUAACCAAAAAAAAAACAUUAGAAAGCAAGUCUUUUAAGUCAUCUUUCCGAUGAUAUUGAUAUCGUAUCAUAUUUUGGCUUCAAAUAGUAAGUACUAACUUAUAAAAGAUAUUGUUUCGAGAUGGUUUUAAAAAAAAAUACUAAAAUAUUUUUCUUUUUGAUAACAAGAGAAAUAAGAUAUUUAUAUGAAAAAAGAACAAAUAAUUAGUGGCCCAUAUCUCAACGUAUAGCCACGUAAAAAUAAAGGUUGUUGGUGAGGGGUUUUGUAUGGGAGGAAUAAAGAAAUAGGAGAACAAAAGCUGUUAGAAUGUGUGUAGGACAAGUUAGAUGAGGAAGAAAAGCAUGUGAGUUUAUUUUACCAAAGAAAUAAAAACAUAAAAAAAUUGUAAAAAAAUUAUAAACUAAAAUUAUAUGUACUAACAAUUAAAAAACACAUAAAACCACACAAUACGUAUAUCCCAUUCGAAAGGUGAUUACAUGUAUCUUAAUUUAUAGAUGGUCUAUCAAAAAUAAAUUCUGUACCUUUAAAAUAUGUGUAAGAUAUUGUUAUUAUUAUUGUAUUAAUUUGUAACGUCAAAUAAUAAUAAAUGACACAAUAAUAAAUAAAUUUACAAUUGAUAUACUGCUCAUAUAUAUAAUUUAAAUUUUAAAAAAUAAAAUAUCACCAAUAUGUUUGAACCUACCAUCGGUGGUUCCUAGCAUCACGAGGGCAGCAAACUCUACUUGUCUUCUCUCUCCUCUUCCUCCUCUAGUU